UAGGGAAUUGGCCCCAGAGAUGAUGCUGGAGCCAGAGAAGCUGCCAGAGCCACUUUAGAGCCUUGGAGACUAGAGGUGCACAGGGCUUAUCGAUUCUUCACUUGCCCCCUGUACCAGAGCUAGUUAUGCCAGGUGAGGUGAUAGAAGGGCUAAAUCAGCAUCUUGGAUCAGUAACGGGCUGAAUGAAAGGCACUAAACUGAAGCACAAAUUUGACAAGAUGGAGGUUGGAGGCGUUGGAAAGGGGGGGAGCCAGCCGGCCCGGCUCCUCCUUCAGGUCCUGAAGAUCCGUCCGCGCCUAUUGACCUGGUUCCAGAAGGGCCUGCCCCAGUGGCUCUGAUGCCGUCGCCUGAGGACCCAGCUCCUGUGCUGCCUUCUCCGUUGCUUCCAUCACCUGCUGCACCUGUGGUGCCUCCGCCGGUGGAUCCUCGAGUACCUGUUGCCCCGGGUGCUGGUGGGGCAGUGGCUCCGGUACGGGUCCUGAUCUGUGGCCAUUCGCUGGUCUUUUGGGCCUUCAAGCGGACCAGCACCUCCCACUGGGGUUCCCAACUUGGGUUUGGUCGAAGAGCCUCGGUGUAUUGGCUGGACAUGCGGGGCAUGCUGUGGGAUCAGCUGCUUCCGGCCAUUAGGGAUCACUUAGCUAGGUUUCCCAUGCCCUUAGUUCUUGUUCUUCACUUGGGUGAAAAUGAUUUAGGCAGGCGGACUGGCCUGUCCAUCGUGCAGCAAGCUGCCUCCGAUUUGUUGACAUUGCGCAGGUGGAUGCCUGGGGUGCGUAUCCUGUGGGUUAAUUGGUUCCAGCGCAGAGUUUGGCGCACUGCGUUAGAUGGGUGCCAGUUAGAAAAGGCACGACGCAAGGUUUCAGCCGCUAUAGGUAAGUUAGUUGUGGCGGUUGGCGGAGACAUCAUUAGACAACCAGAUUUAGCGGCCCGUUUCCCCGAGCUCUAUCACCCAGACGGGGUUCAUCUUUCGGAGGUUGGGUGUGAUUUGUUCCUGCGCAAUAUUCGGACUGAGCUGGUUGCACUUUUGGAUAGUUUGGGGCAGGGAGGCCAAGCGUAGGCUGACCUCCCUGAGUGGCAGUAACAGUGCGGGCUAAGGGGUAAGUGGUUAGUUAGAGUAUGGUGAGCACCCUUGGAUAUUGUAAGGUGGAAUGGUCAAUCGCUCCUUUGUAGCCUGUGCGGCACGGGGAGAAAUUGAUUGCCAGGAAGCCUGCUUAAGGAUUUCAUCAACCUUUGGGCUGUGCGGUCCGGGGUGGGUGAAGACCUUGAGCUGUCCAGAUCCCCUCUUCUCGGGAGGGUGGUUGGCUUUGAAGGUAACAGGUGGGGUAUACCCACCUGUUUCCUGAGCCAGGGUGUGUCGCCCAUGUCAGGUGAUGAAUAGGAUGGUAGCAUCCUAGAUCAUGCCUAGGGGCCUGCACUGUUCUAUGUUGGUGAUUAAUCACCUGGUUUACAGUCCGCUUCUGCCUAUUUGUUUAUUAAUAAAGCGUGGCCCUUUU